rnacentral:rRNA from 1 species
AGCGAACGCUGGCGGCAGGCCUAACACAUGCAAGUCGAACGAACUCUUCGGAGUUAGUGGCGGACGGGUGAGUAACACGUGGGAACGUGCCUUUAGGUUCGGAAUAACUCAGGGAAACUUGUGCUAAUACCGAAUGUGCCCUUCGGGGGAAAGAUUUAUCGCCUUUAGAGCGGCCCGCGUCUGAUUAGCCAGUUGGUGAGGUAAAGGCUCACCAAGGCUACGAUCAGUAGCUGGUCUGAGAGGAUGACCAGCCACAUUGGGACUGAGACACGGCCCAAACUCCUACGGGAGGCAGCAGUGGGGAAUCUUGCGCAAUGGGCGAAAGCCUGACGCAGCCAUGCCGCGUGGAUGAUGAAGGUCUUAGGAUUGCAAAAUCCUUUCACUGGUGAAGAUAAUGACUGUAGCCGGAGAAGAAGCCCCGGCUAACUUCGUGCCAGCCGCCGCGGUAACAC